rnacentral:rRNA from 1 species
UACGUAGGUCCCGAGCGUUGUCCGGAUUUAUUGGGCGUAAAGCGAGCGCAGGUGGUUUAAUAAGUCUGAAGUAAAAGGCAGUGGCUCAACCAUUGUGUGCAUUGGAAACUGUUAGACUUGAGUGCAGUAGAGGAGAGUGGAAUUCCAUGUGUAGCGGUGAAAUGCGUAGAUAUAUGGAGGAACACCGGUGGCGAAAGCGGCUCUCUGGACUGUAACUGACACUGAGGCUCGAAAGCGUGGGUAGCAAACAGG